GAAAAGAGCAUUCUGAAUCCGGUGACAUAGUAACACGGUCGACGUAUCGUUUCCCUAUCUCGGAUACAAGAACGGCUGAUUACGUAUCAGGUGAUCAACACACGGGUAAUCACUGUUUCGCGAUCCACUAUCGCUGAAGGAAGAAACGAAAAAACGAAGAAACGAAGCUACGAAACGAGGAGGCAAAGUGGAAUUCCUUGUCGCGAAUUUCGCUGGCUCGUCAUACCGUAAAUAACGAGAUCAUCACGAAAUCAACGCGACCGAUGAACUUGUUUCAUUGUAACCGAACACCCUAUACAGAGAGUCGCAUACACGCACAUGCGUAUACCGUGUGUACAAUUGCGCUCUCGUGUGAAAAGACUAUUCUUACAUAACGAGCUCAGCGAGCUCGACGUGACACUGACCUCACUCUAAAUCCAUAAGUGGUCGUUAAUUAUCGAGUGGCAACGAUUUCAACGAUUUCACUGAUGGAGGGUGAGCCAAGCCGAAGAAGGGUGAGAGGGUGGGCGGGGAAGAGCCAAUACACAGAGUGGCCUGCUAAUCAGUCCGUUCCGAUAUCGCAAUAUGUGGGAUACGCUCGGUUGAUUCUGAACACGACGAGUUUACCCUAACGUAAUUAAUGUCCGUCGUACAAUGUGACGUGCAACGACAAAUUCGAUCGACGUCGCUAUUCAUAGAAAGAGAGAGAGAACGAAUGCGGGACAGAGAGUGCGAGCGAGAGAAAGAGUGCAGAUUCCAUUCAUCCAUCGUGCCCCCGUCUCUCGUGAACGGCUCACUCCCCCAUACCGGUCUACGUGAAUUUACAACUAAAUCAUGCAUCAUACACACAUGUACAGCGGGCGCGACGUGUUCGUUUUGUAAUGCAAAUAAAGUCUCUCUGGAUUCGUUAUUUUUAACAUCAUCUCCGAAGGAUCUGCACAUUUUGAGACCAGCAAACAGUGGCAGAGGAUUUUGAGCGAAGCAACCGAACACGGCUGGAUAGAUGAGGAUGGUGUACACGUUCAUUUCAGAAGCGAGCCGUAUCAUCAUCAUCGCGCACGGUCGAGUGGAUCAUUUUUCAUUUAUACGCGCCGGAUAAUGUGUAUCAUUGAAUAUGUCACUAAUUGCUCGACGGGAGGAUAAACAUUUUUUGCGGAGAUAAAUUAAACGGUCGCAGUGCCGGACAAGAUAAUUAAGUAUUACGGUAUGGUGUUACGUAUGUGAUAAUAAUCUCGCCAUGUGUCGACACACUCUCUUCUUGACCCGACCCGUCGUUCUUUCUCCCUGUCCCUCUCUUGUAGCCGAAGAAUGUAAGGACACGAUCAGGGGAAACGACGACGACGACGACGACGGCCAGCCUCCAGCGAAGAGGGAGAAGGGAGCAAACACGUCGGAUAAGAAAGAAUCUGUGGUAAGGACAAUCACCCGGGAGAGGUCGAACGUUCCCUGUGUUGCGAGACGACGAAAAAGUCCAAAAGGAUUUCCCCGCAGCGAAACGAGGAAUUCGAAAAAGAAAAUCACCGACGCGUGCAUUCCCGAUUCAAGGGAUUUUUCAAAACCUGGCUAACGCGCGUUGCACCGAACCCAUGUGCUUUUGUGCUCGCGACGACGCGAGGAAGGAGCGAUUUCACACGCUCAAAGUAAUCCGGGGAUCUCACACACGAUACGGUGGUGUCUAACAUUUUGGAUGUUUCUCAUAACGGAAGUCGAAGCUUUCUGCCUAACACGGAGAACACAUUAUGAAGGAGGACAGGAAGAGAAGUGACGUUUGAUUAGUUGCGAAAUGGCGUACAAAUAAAUUACCAUCGCGAUGAACAUCGGGAACGAGGGAGCAGCAGCUGAAAGAAUAUCAUGGAAAAGACGAGCAAUCUGGCGGAUAUUCCAUUUCGUCCCGGGGCAAAGCGUUGGUAAUAGAGCAUUAAAAAGGAUCUGGUUUUUUUUUCCCACGGCUUUUCAUAAUUAGUCGUCGUCGUCGUCUGCUGGAAUAGCGAUGCAUAUCUCGCUCCCCACUAAUUGUUUGACACCGAAUCAACAUCCUACCGUGGCGUUUACAUUUCAAAUCGUCUUACUCGCGGCUCUCGGGAGCAGAUAACAAGGUAUCUAGUAAUGCGAGCACCGGGCCUGAUAAUUCACUUACUAGCAGGUAACGAUUUCUCACAUUUAAUUAGCGAGGGAUCGCGAUUUGCCAACAGGGUGAGAAGAGUUCGGCUCUAAGCUGGCUUUUAAUUAGACGUAAAGGGAAAUAAAAGUAGAAAGCAAGAAAAAAGGAGGGAAAAGUAUGCGAGUGUGUGCGUGAGCGUGUGUGUAUCGCGUUACAGGCGGACAAGAUUGAUAAGCGAAGAUCUGGCAUUUCCUGCUAAGCGUUGCGCGCAGCUUACAGCUGUUGUGCACCGUCCAGAAGCUCAGGUUGGAUCGCGAACCCGUUCAGGAACAAGAGGGACCGGUUUAAGCGGUUUACAUCGCGGCUACUUUCUCCGUGACAAUAACAAUGCACUUUGUGCUUCGAUAAUGCACGAAAUGGACGAGUAAAUAACAAGCAUGCCACGAAUAUCUUCUUUUUCUUUCCACGAGACGCACUGCAUUACCACGGGUCAGAUUUAUGCAACGGAUUACAAUGGCCAUGUGUAUAAAGAAGAAAGGCGCAUGUAUUAUUAAUUUCAAGAGGAAAUUUUAACGCUGUUCAAUGUCUGACGCAAAGAUAAGAAAUAAAUUGCUCGUAGGUAAUUAAGCAAUCACCCAAUCAAACGAGGUGAUUAUAUCGCGUAUGAUUAUACGUUGGACAAGUAUGUUGUUUCCUCCGUAAAUCAUUUGAUUCCGAAGCUGUUAUUUCCAUUGGCGUAUUUCCACCGAUCGCAGUUGGGUAGGAAUUAACGCGACCGGAUCCUACGAGAAAUUCCUCCAGCGUUAUCGUAUCUGCCGCGUAAACUAAUAAUAAAGCGAUCAGCUGGGUAGGGUCAAGCGUAUAGUAAUUCUAACGGGCGCAAUUACAAUGCACAACGAAUCAUUCGUAAUCGUAUUUUCCGUCUCGAAUCGCGCGUAGUAAGGAAAGAUAACGAGUGUAAAAAUUUGCAUUCGUCACGUGUCGCACAUCUCCUCCUUUUUUCUAUUUUCCUCUCGCAUUCUCUUUCCUUCGCAAAUUGUGACAAUUUAUACCCGUGCCGUUGAUACGUUUCAGCUUGCGUCGCUAAUUAUCUUCGUUCCGUGAUUCUAAUGGAGCGUGCAGACAGUACUGGGAUGCACAUUAUUACGAAACAAACGAAUGAGUAAUAAACGAGUAAACGGUGAGAGCAGCCGGGCAAAUGGUAAAUAUUAGUGAUUCAUGUUUACAAGCAAUAACGAUCCACUAAGUAACAUUCCUCCGUUCCUGCUCUUUCUCUGUUUCCCAGGUAGAAAAGAAAUUUACUUGGAGCAAAGGAGGGGGAUACAAAAGGUUCAGGCUAUUUCAAGACCCUUCCUUCGCAUUGUGCGUUGUACUUCGACCGGGAAUGACCGACAAACCGUCUUCGAAGUCUCUUUUCCAAUCCGCCCCGGGAGCCCCUUUAUGCGAUAACAAUACGCUUAAUAACGUGAAAAAUAGGCUUAUAUAAUUCGGCAGAAAUUUGUAUGACGAAUUCGACAAGAGAAUACAAUGUUGCAGCGCUAUUGUUUCUACCAUUCGUGCGUGACAUUGGUUUAACCUGCGGCUACAAAUAUUUCCGCAAUGAUGCGGCAUUUCCGGGCGAAUAGCAUUUUUUCCACUUAAAGGAGACCAAUAAAAUAAUGAACCGUAAUGCAGAUUAUGCUUCGCUAACGAAAGUUUGUGUAAGUUGACCUUACUGCUUUCCGGCCGCAACGUUCACUCGCUAUUCUAUAUCAUUUGCAUCGCAAAAGAUGGUAAGACCAUUUUUUAAUUAGCAUAUAAAGCGACGUGUUUUAUGUAUGAGUACGUAUAAUCUUCAUGGAAGCGAUCAGAAUCGAGCAGCAUUUGUUUAGUCGCAGAUCUAGCGAUCGUUUAUCGGUAAUUUAAUAAUUUCCCCUAACAGAUACUACUCGUUCGAAAACAGCAAUUGUGAUGCCGCAAUGAAAGCAAUUGGAGGUCAUUUACUGAUAUGAAAACACAACAGAGACAGUCGUUCUCUUUCCAAAAUAAUCUAUCUAUCGCAAAUGCCCGGUGAUUUUCGUUCGUUUCGCAUUGAAAAACGGUGUUUCGCUAUGUUCGCAAUUUGUACGAAGGCAAGCGGCCAGAAAGCGGCAGGGAUGCGUCCAGUUGUCAUUGUUGCUUUUAUCUAUCAACGAAAAUUAUAGCUCGUUAACGAAGACGACCGUGUCAGCCGGUUUGAUAUCGCGGUGUACGGUAAAAAUAACGAUUAACGGUUGCGUUUGCGAUAAAUCAUGAUAAAAGGUACUUGUAGCAACGUGAAAGAGCUUUCGUUGCCUCGUAGACGUAACGUACACUAUCGUGGGCUCUAGUGUUGGAUCUUUUUUUGGCUCGCGCCAAGCACAGAUAACGAAUUCGAUUUAUGCUCGUUUCGAUGUACGCCGAUAAAGUUCUGCGUAAUUAAAGCGUUCUAUUUCGAAAUGAUCUUGAUCGGUGCUCACCAGCCUUUUCCGUGGUAGUCGAACUCGUUUUCAGUUCAUGCUUCGAUAAUUUCAAUCGUACACCUUCGAUAUUACAUACACAGCUCGAAAUAAUCAUCUACACUGCUCAGACAAAUCGCAUUUUCCAUCAAAAUAUUCUGAUACCUAUUUUUAGU